GCGGUGGAUGAUGUGGAUUAAUUCGAUGCAACGCGAAGAACCUUACUACCCUUGACAUGUCCGGAACUUGCCAGAGAUGGCUUGGUGCCCGAAAGGGAAUCGGAACACAGGUGCUGCAUGGCUGUCGUCAGCUCGUGUCGUGAGAUGUUGGGUUAAGUCCCGCAACGAGCGCAACCCUUAUCAUUAGUUGCUACGCAAGGGCACUCUAAUGAGACUGCCGGUGACAAACCGGAGGAGGGUGGGGAUGACGUCAAGUCCUCAUGGCCCUUAUGGGUAGGGCUUCACACGUCAUACAAUGGUCGGUACAGAGGGUUGCCAAGCCGCGAGGCGGAGCCAAUCCCACAAAGCCGAUCGUAGUCCGGAUUGUUCUCUGCAACUCGAGAGCAUGAAGUCGGAAUCGCUAGUAAUCGCAGGUCAGCAUACUGCGGUGAAUACGUUCCCGGGUCUU
rnacentral:rRNA from 1 species